rnacentral:tRNA from 1 species
GGGUAGAUGGCCGAGUGGUUAAAGGCGGCAGACUGUAAAUCUGCUCACGCAAGUGUACGUUGGUUCGAAUCCAACUCUGCCCACCA